UACGUAGGGUGCGAGCGUUAAUUGGAAUUACUGGGCGUAAAGCGUGCGCAGGCGGUUGUGCAAGACCGAUGUGAAAUCCCCCGGGCUUAACCUGGGAAUGGCAUUGGUGACUGCACGGCUAGAGUGUGUCAGAGGGGGGUAGAAUUCCACGUGUAGCAGUGAAAUGCGUAGAGAUGUGGAGGAAUACCGAUGGCGAAGGCAACCCCCUGGGAUAACACUGACGCUCAUGCACGAAAGCGUGGGGAGC
rnacentral:rRNA from 1 species